rnacentral:tRNA from 1 species
AGAAAUUUAGUAUAACGGUAUAACAUUGUUUUUACACGACAAAGAAAGAGGUUCGACUCCUCUAAUUUCUA